GCCCGAGUGGUGAAAUGGUAUACACGCAGUGUUCAGAACGCUGUGUCGCAAGACGUGGAGGUUCGAGUCCUCUCUCGGGCA
rnacentral:tRNA from 1 species